rnacentral:misc_RNA from 1 species
GAUGAAGAACGUAGCGAGAUGCGAUAAGUAGUGUGAAUUGCAGAAUUCAGUGAAUCAUCGAAUCUUUGAACGCACAUUGCGCCCCUUGGUAUCCCGAGGGGCAUGCCUGUUCGAGCGUCAUUUCACCACUCAAGCCUGGCUUGGUGUUGGGCGACGUCCCCUUUGGGGACGCGCCUCGAAACGCUCGGCGGCGUGGCACCGGCUUUAAGCGUAGCAGAAUCUUUCGCUUUGGAAGUCGGGGCCCCGUCUGCCGGAAGACCUACUCGCAAGGUUGACCUCGGAUCAGGCAGGGAUACCCGCUGAACUUAAGCAUAUCAAUAAGCGGAGGA